rnacentral:rRNA from 1 species
GACGAACGCUGGCGGCGUGCUUAACACAUGCAAGUCGAACGGAAAGGCACUGCUUUUGUGGGGUGCUCGAGUGGCGAACGGGUGAGUAACACGUGAGUAACCUGCCCUUGACUUUGGGAUAACUUCAGGAAACUGGGGCUAAUACCGGAUAGGAGCUCCUGCUGCAUGGUGGGGGUUGGAAAGUUUCGGCGGUUGGGGAUGGACUCGCGGCUUAUCAGCUUGUUGGUGGGGUAGUGGCUUACCAAGGCUUUGACGGGUAGCCGGCAUGAGAGGGUGACCGGCCACAAUGGGACUGAGAUACGGCCCAGUCUCCUACAGGAGACAGCAGUGGGGAAUAUUGCACAAUGGGCGGAAGCCUGAUGCAGCAACGCCGCGUGCGGGAUGACGGCCUUCGGGUUGUGAACCGCUUUCGCCUGUGACGAAGCGUGAGUGACGGUAAUGGGUGAAGAAGCACCGGCUAACUACGUG